rnacentral:tRNA from 1 species
UCCCUGGUGGCUCAGAUGGUAAAGAAUCUGCCUAUAAUGCAGAAGACUCAGGUUCAAACUCUGGUUUGGGAA